GGACAAGCUACAAACGCUAAGGAAUUACAUUAGUGACCCAAAUGUCUCAUUCAACAACUUGUCUGAGCUGCUGGAAAAAUGCAACCUCACCUAUGAGGAAUACAAGAAACAUGUCACCAAUCUAACAAUGAGCAAUGUCAUUGUGUUGAAACGUCAUCCAAAGGACUGCUGGGUGAAUGGAUACAAUCCAGAUCUGCUGAGAGCAUGGAACGCAAACAUGGACAUCCAAUUUGUGCUUGACGAGUACAGCUGCCUUAUGUACAUGAUGUCGUAUGUGUCCAAGCCGGAACAUGAGAUGACUGAGUUCCUGAACGAUGUCAUUCGUGAUGUGAAGAAAACUAACGUCAACGAGAAAGAUGAAAUGAAGCAGAUAAUGCAGGCAUACGCUAAACACAGAGGUCAGCGCUCAAGAGGCUGUGGCACGGACAUGCAGCUUGCCACUCAAAAAGUGCUUGCGAAAUGUGGUGUUCAUUCAGACUGAUAAUGCCCUGAAGAUGAGUCUUCCUAUGAGCAGAUUGAAGGACGUUUCACCAGAAUCAGGACAAGUGUGGAUGUCAGGCCUACCAGAGAAAUAUGCAGAGAGACCCAGAACACCUGAAUAUAAAGGGUUGUGUCUGGCUGAAUUUGCUUCUCGAUACAGGACUGUCUAUGGACAACAAUCCAAAGGAAAAAAUGCAGUUCCCUUUUUAAAUGUCAAAGGAUACGUUCAAAAAAGAACUGUAGGAAAGCCGGCCAUCAUUAGAUUUCCCCGCUUCUCAGAAGAGAGAGAUCCAGAAAGGUUCUACGGACGACUACUGAAACUGUACCUCCCACACAGAUCAAAUGAUGACCUGAAAAGCAAAGAAUUCCCCACAUAGUAACAGUUUUACAAAUGUGGUCGUAAGUGGGGACGUGAAGUACGACCUCUGGUUGACGUCAUGAAGAAGAAAUAUGAAGGACAGGGCAAACUAAUUGAGAAGGCACUGGAAAAAAUUUGAUAAGAAGGCCUGGUCGUUAAUGCGUGGAACACCUUUGCGCCUUAGAUGGAAGUGGAUCGUCUGGAAUGCAUCAACCAAUAAGAAGAAAUAAACCCCAAUGACGAGGACGAGAUGGACAACGUACCAGACUUUGCAGUGGAUCGUAGCAGCAGUAUAGCUGUACCAGCAAUCGAGGCACCAAAGCUGAGCCCAGACUUUGUGAGGAAACUAUACCAAAGCCUCAAUGAAACAUAGGCAUCUAUAUUUUACACUGUGCGUGAAUGGUGCCUCAAACGUGUCUGGGGUGACAAUCCUGAACAGUUCUUUUACUUUGUGACUGGUGGAGCUGGUUGUGGAAAGUCACAUGUAAUCAAAUGCAUACACGAGGAGGCAACCAAGAUUCUGCGCCAGCUCCUGAGAUUCCGCAACCAAGGAGAUGUCCACGCCUGCAGUGCUACUGACUGCAUUUACUGGCACUGCAGCCUUCAACAUCUCUGGCAAGACCUUGCAUUCAAUGCUAAAAUUGCCAAGAAGUUUAAAACCACCAUACCAGGGACUGCGAAAUACACUGGAUGAAAUGAGAGCAAUGCUGUCCAAUGCGGAAAUUCUAAUAAUAGAUGAAAUUUCCAUUGUUUCAAAGGAGUUAUUUACCUACGUCCACUGGAGAUUUCAGCAGAUCAAAGGGAACAAGAAACCCUUUGGAGGCAUGUCCGUCUUGGCAGUAGGAGACUUUUACCAACUGCCACCGCUUGGCAAAUCGAAACCACUUUGUGUGUAUGAGGAGGGCGUGCUCGACAUUUGGAAAGACAACUUCCAAAUGGUCAAUCUGACACAGAUCAUGCGACAGAAAGAUGAUCUUGUUUUUGCAGAGCUUCUGAACAGAUUGCGGGUGAAGAGGAAGAUGGAGACACUCACUGAUGAGGACAGAGCUUUACUCACUGAGACUGUGAUCGAUAUCAAGGACUGUCCACUCGAUGCCCUGCAUAUCUUUGCAACAAACAAAGAGGUUGAUGAGCACAACGGAAAAACUGUAUCAGCUCUCCACACUGAUUUUGUCAACAUUAAGGCACAGGACUAUGCUAAAAACCCCACCACAGGUGAAAUGAUCCAGACAGGAUGCUUCAAAGGGGAAAAAGAGAGACCUGCCUGACUGCAUACAAGCUGCACACGGAGUACGCAUAAUGAUACUCAGGAAUCUGGAUGUGGAGGAUGGACUUGUGAAUGGAACAUUUGGAACCAUUGCCAACAUCGUUACAGGCCAGCAAGAUGGGAAAACAACAGUGACAACGAUUGGACUUCAACUGGACAAUCCAAACGCCGGACAGAAAUUUCGUAAGAAGAUCCCAGGGCAAUUGGAUAACCUGGUCUACAUUGAGAGAACUGAAGAGAACAUGACCAAAAAAGGAGCCGUUCGAAGGCAGUUUCCAAUGAAGUUGGCUUUUGCCUGCACAGCUCACAAAGUGCAAGGCAUGACAAUGGAGUCUGCAGUGGUGUCUCUGAAGCGUGUGUUUGAGCCUGGAAUGUCGUAUGUUGCCCUCAGUAGGACAACCUCACUUAAAGGGCUGCACAUUACAGAUUUUGAGGAAAAGAAAAUUUAUGCUGAUCCUGAAAUUACAGCUGCAAUGGAAAAUAUGAACCAAGCAUCAUUCGCGUGCACUAGACCACUUUUGCAACAUGUGAAAUUGGCAGACGGGACAGCACAAAACCUCAAAAUUAUUUACCACAAGGACUUCCAUCUCACAUCGGGGACCUGAAAUGCCACCCUGAACUGGCACUUUCCGAUGUCUUAUGCAUAACGGAAACACAUCUGUCUGGAUCCUUUGUUUCCCCAAAGUUCCACUUGGAAGGAUACAACAUGUUUGCACGCAGCAGACAGGUGUCCUACACAAACUUUCCAGACAUGGCAACAAAAGAUGGUGGCGGAGUUGCAGUGUACUGUAAGAGCCACAUUCAGGCAGAGGCUCGGAGGUACUUUCAAAAUGUGACUGAUCUCGAGUUUGUAGUUGUCAAACUUGAGGCCCCAGUCAGAGCCGUGAUUGCAGCUGUUUACCGACCACCACACUUCUGUCUCAAGAAGUUUCUGCCAAACAUGGAAAGUCUCUUGGACUCCUUGGACAUGAUGAAUCACCAGCCAGUCAUUGUUUGCGGAGACUUUAAUGAGGACCUCCUAUGCAAAGGAAAAAAGGCAAUACAAGAGAUGUUUCAAUCAAAAGGAUAUACACAGCUCAUCACAGCUGCAACAACGGAAAACAGGACACUUCUUGACCACAUUUACGUGUCUCAACCACAUACCUGCGUCAAAUCUGGUGUGCUGCAAAUGUAUUACAGUUAUCACAGUCCUGUCUACUGUGUUUUAACUCUGUGAUAACUGAGGAUAAGGCAGUUACAUAUCUCUUAGAGUCCACAUGUACGGGGCCUAAGUUGGUAUUGUUCUGUCCGUCAAAAGGAUUUCCACAACGGAAAACAGGAAACUUCUCGACCACGUUUACCAAACGUAUGAAAGGCAGUUACAUAUCUCUUAGAGUCCGCAUGUACGGGGCCUAAGUUGGUAUUGUUCUGUCCAUCACAAUCUCUCUGGGUGCAUUUUAUUUUUUCAUGUUUAUCGAUGUAACCUUUUAUCUGACCAAACAUAUGUAAGGCAGUUCAUUAUCUCAGAGUCGGCAUGAACGGGCCUAAGUUGGUAUUGUUCUGUCCAUCACAAUCUCUCUGUGCAUUUUUUUAUUUUUUCAUGUUUAUCAAUGUAACUAAUUAUCUGGGUGCAUGUUAUUUGAUGUUUAAGCUAGAGCCUUGUGUUUUGAGUCACAGCAGACCAUUAUCUACAAUGAAGGUAGGCUACAGUUCCAGUGAUGCAGAGAGGAUAGGGACAGCAGCUCCAAAAUUGAGGUAAAUAAUUGCUGGUGUUAAUUUAAGCAACUGUUCACAUACUGUAUAUUGUUUUGGUCAUAGUUCCUUUUCAUAUACAGAUAAAAACUGAAAUAUUACAUUGUUGGUCUUUAGUUUGCUCUAUGAUUAUUCUAUCGUGUAAUUAAUGAUUUUCUCUCCUUUUUGUUUCUUUUUUGUUGUUUUGUGAUUGUGCAUAGAUCUGACACCUGAUGAACACCAUGCAAAGAUGGAUGGCAGCAACCCCAAAGUCAAAAGUAGGAUCAUCAGUGAGGACUGCAGCGAAGAUGGCAGUCGUUCACCCUGUGAAGAAUCAGCAUUCCAACUCAAGGCUUGAGACUCCAUGUCGCUGUUAAAUCGUGAUUUUGUGCCGAAGGUGAACAACAUCCAAGAAACCAACAGCAGAAGGAGAAACACAACAAACAAAAUACGUUUAAGUACUCUUUUUCUUUGAAAUAAGAUUUGUUUCCAGUACUUUUGUGAUUUACUAAAGAUAUAUUGUUUGUAAACACUGUAUUAAUACUAUUGUGUAUUUUUUUCUUGUGGGGAACAACAAAACGGAAUCAACAACAUUAAGCGAAGUGCUCUUUUUUCUUCCAUUUUUUAUUUCUCACAAAUAUAACAUAUUACAUUAUUGUUUUGUUUGCUGUAUGCUUAUUCUGUCAUCGAAUUAAUGAUUUUCUUUUCCUCUCCUUUUUUCCUGUUGUUUUUUGAUUGUGCAUAAAUCUGACACCUGAUAAACACCAUGCAAAGAAGGAUGGCGGCAACCCCAAAGACAAAAGUUGGAUCAUCAAUGAGGGCUACAGCAAAGAUGGCAGUCGUUCAACCUGAAGAAUCAGCAUUCCAACACAGGGUUUGAGAAUUGGGCGGGGCAGAUGGCCAUCCACCGUGAUACGGGUUCUGCACAAGGUUUCUGCCACAGGCAGUUUUUCCUUGCCACCGUUGCCAAGUGCUUGGUCAUGCUGGGAAUUGUAAUUGUAAUGGAGAUUGU